rnacentral:misc_RNA from 1 species
UACGUAGGGGGCGAGCGUUGUCCGGAAUCAUUGGGCGUAAAGCGCACGUAGGCGGCCCGUUAAGUCGGAUGUGAAAGCCUGGGGCUUAACCCCAGAAUUGCAUUCGAUACUGGCGGGCUUGAGGAAGGUAGAGGAGUGUGGAAUUCCCGGUGUAGCGGUGGAAUGCGCAGAUAUCGGGAGGAACACCAGCGGCGAAGGCGGCACUCUGGGCCUUACCUGACGCUGAGGUGCGAAAGUGUGGGGAGCAAACAGG